UCCUUUCUGUUAGCUCACUGUCAAAGUAAGCUUCAAAUGGAUGGCACAGCAAUCGCUAUAUUGUCAGCAUGUUUUUGUUUAUAGUCCCCAUCGACUUUACUGUCAGUGUGUUCAGAGAUUAAGAACGUUUACCGUAAUUUCUAAUUGGAUCUAUGUCAGGUCAGUCAGAUUUGUUUGUUUAUUUCUUUAAGGAAAGCUAUUACAUUUUGGAGUAUUUUGAUAUUUUUGGUAGCAAAUAUUUGAUAAAUACUGUGAUACCUGUCUAUUUCAUAUUUGCUCCUUGUUGUCGUAUAAUUAGUGCAAUGGAAAAAUAGCCAAUAAGCUGAAUAAUCAUGGCCUGCAAGGAGACGAUUGAGGGUGCGUACUUCAGAAUUAGAGAGCUUUAAUCCGGUAUACCAGGGUUUGGAUGGUAUCGUGUUCUGGAACUGGAAAUAUUUGCGUCCCUUUCCAUUCACAGCGGCAUAUUCGAGGAGUACUGUUGAUUCAAAGCUGCUUUCGCCAACUGGUCAGCAAUCUCGUUCCCGGCAGUGCCAGCGUGGCCAGGAAUCCACUGCAAAGCUGUGCUAGUUUUCGAAGCCAUACCGAGCAGUUUUUCCACGAUUUCAUCCCGAAAAUCAUCUUGCAUGUUCGAUUUGAUGAACUCAAGACCCGCCUUUGAGUCGGACAUGAUAACGGUAUUGGAGAUUCCAGAUCGUCGUAUAUACUGCAGAGCUACCCAGAUGGCCUCCAAUUCUGCGGACAUAAUACACACAUAAUGAUCUAGUUUAAGACUAAGCCUGAAAUUGGACGAUGAGUCAUAAACUCCUAUUCCACAGGAUUCCCAGUUUUGGGAAGCAUCCGUGUAGAUGAUACGUCUCCCGUUGUAUUUACCGUGAAUUAAUGAAAGAGAAAGUUGCUUCAACACCCGA